GCUAGGCCACCGUCUUUUUAGAAAAUAUUUUUCCUUUUAAAACAAUUGGACUCAAAACUAAGUCUGCACCAGAGAUUCAGGUAAGGGGGUUCAUUUAACUCUUGGAGAAGGUGUUAGGCACUCCCCAAGUCCCGUGAAAGUCAGGGUUGCGUACUCGAUCUAGUUGGUUUUUAAAAUAUUCAAAUUGAGGCUGAACACACAAAAAUAAAGUAAACACAAAAAAGGCUCGAGGUCGUCCCCGCCUAAAUGAAAGAAAAUUAAAAGAAGAAAAAUUAAAGUUCCAGAUUAUCCUACGCUAUUUCUUCUACGUUGUUCUUCAUGGCCUCCAAUUACUUUCACAUCAGGGCAUACCCCUGAAAUAAAAUAUAUACAUAUCCCUCUGGUCAUUCCUCUGAUAUAUUAAACUAAAAAAUAACCUCUUGCCUCUGAAAUUAAAAACAAACAAAUAAAAAAUUUUAAGGCUUGCCUACCAAGUAUGGUCGGCCUAAGCAUGCUAUUAAGGAUUGAGAGUAACCAAAAUAAAUAAGAGCGAGAUAUCUCCUUAAGAUCCAAUUUCUUUCUUAGGCACUGAAUUACUUCCCAUGGCCCACAUGUAUCUAAAAAUUUACUCAAUGUUUCCUAAAGUAACAGAAUCAGACCUCAAAAUAGGAACCAAAGAAAGAUCCAUGUUCCAUCAACUUUUGAUCAAUCGACACAAUUAGCAAAUCAAGCAAAUGACCAAACAAUCAACUUUUGACUAGGUAAAAUAUGUUUCAUAAUAGAAAUCAUCAGUUAAACAGAGAUCCCACAAGUUUAAUCAACAAAAGCAAUAUUAUCAAGAAAUCACAUAUAUGAAGUUAAAAACGGGUAACUAAUAGAUAAGAGAUAAGAGUGAACCUUAAAAGUAAAAUCCCUUUAAUUAGUGCAGCAGAAUCCAUAAAUCAGAACUUCGGCCUGUGAAGUGCUUCAUAUUUGAUAUGUAAAGGAAAUUUUCCGACGGUUCCACAAACAACCAGAAAUUUCAAACGAGCUAUGGACCGUAAACUCGAACAGGCGUUGCAACCUCGAACGACCUCGGCUUGACCCGAUUUUGGUGGUGAUUUUUGGCUGAUUUUGCUGCAGGUUGUCAUGGGAGAUGGUGGCUGGUUUUAAACUGGAUUUUCAGCUCAUUUUUGAAGCUGAUUUGUGGUCGAUUUUGGGGAGAAAGCUACUGCAUUUUUGCAGCAUUUUGGAGUUAAAAAUGAGAUGCUUUGCUGAAGUUUUUGGCAUGAUUUUCAGCAGCUUUGCAACUGAUUUUACUGCUCUCUGAUGGCUGUAUUUUGUAGCUUGGUGGAGGAAACUGAAGCUUUACAUGGCUGAAGUUUCAGCUGGUUUGUGAAAGUGCUGAAUAUGAAGAAAUGGGAUCUCGGCUGUGCGUUACUAUCCACCCCUCCUCUUUUGUUUUUUUGGGUGUGUUUCUUCAAGUUGAGAGAAAGAAAAAGUUGGAAUCCAAAGGUGGGAGGGAGGCGCUACUGUGCAGCGG
rnacentral:lncRNA from 1 species